rnacentral:rRNA from 1 species
UACGGAGGAGGCAAGCGUUAUCCGGAAUUAUUGGGCGUAAAGCGUCCGCAGGUGGCACUUCAAGUCUGCUGUCAAAGACCGGGGCUUAACCCCAGAAAGGCAGUGGAAACUGAAGUGCUAGAGUGCAGUAGGGGUAGAGGGAAUUCCCGGUGUAGCGGGUGAAAUGGCGUAGAGAUCGGGAAGAACAUCGGUGGCGAAAGCGCUCUGCUGGACUGCAACUGACACUGAGGACGAAGCU